rnacentral:rRNA from 1 species
UGGGGUAUAGCCCGGAGAAAUUCGGAUUAAUCCCCCAUAGUAUUAUUGGAUCGCAAGGUUUGAUAAUUAAAGGUUACGGUAUAAGAUGGGCAUGCGUCCUAUUAGCUAGAUGGUAAGGUAACGGCUUACCAUGGCUACGAUAGGUAGGGGGCCUGAGAGGGUGGUCCCCCACGCUGGUACUGAGACACGGACCAGACUCCUACGGGAGGCAGCAGUGAGGAAUAUUGGUCAAUGGGCGCAACCCUGAACCACCCAUGCCGCGUGCAGGAAGAAUGCCCUACGGGUUGUAAACUGCUUUUAUUUAGGAAUAAACUCUUGUACGUGUACAAGCCUGAAGGCGCUAAAUGAAUGAGCACCGGCUAACUCCGUGCCAGCAGCCGCUGUAAUACGGAGGGUGCAAGCGUUAUCCGGAAUCAUUGGGUUUAAAGGGUCCGCAGGCUCGAUUUAUAAGUCAGUGGUGAAAUCCUGUCGCUUAACGAUA